AUGGAUGUGAAAGAGCUGCUGAAAGCUCUGCAGGGGCAGGAGAGCCUCGUGCUGAAUGUUCCAAGUGGAACAUAUGCAGGAAGCACAUGGAAUCUGUGUUGCUCCUCCUGGCUCUGCCUCCCAUGUGGAGCUCACAGAUUACACUCCCCAGCCUGCAGAGGAGGUUGUAUCAUUCUUGAUUUUACACCAGGAAGCACCAAGCUCUUCUCUGCAGAUCCCAACACUGCCUGAUCCAGCCCAGGUUAACUCAGCCUCACUGCAGCAGCCAGGAGUGAGCCUGGUCUGACAAUAUUCAUUAAACAGGCCAGUUUAAAA